GUUGAAGCUUCCGGCAGGACUGAAGGACAAAAGCACAUCACUGAGUGGACUCACCCUUUGACAGUCAAGAUUUAUUGCCCGCAGAGAUGAGAACAGUACUCACACGCUGUAUUUAACUCAUUCGCUGCCAACCCAGUUAAUAUCUGUGACGUCUAUAACCAUCAAUGGCUCUGAAUGAGUUAAGUAGACCAUUAUCCUUUGAAAUCAUAGCUUUGCUCUGACAAAUUAGAAAAUGCAAAACUAGUUAAUGAUAACAACUGAAAAUAAUACACUUUACCUGUAUGUGUUUUGUUUUUCUGAUUGGAUGGAGAAUUUUUUAAUGGAAGUCGAAACUUGUCAACAUCAACAACUAAGGCCCUGGAUGGACGGGGCAGCCAGGGUCAACAUUUUGCUGCUUGCAAGAGACAAAUGGUGACAAAUGAUGGCAAAUUGGACUGAAGACUCCCUGCUGAGCUAUGGUCUUCCCACACGGGCCCCAGAAGCGCACGGAGGCGCAUACACAUGUAUGAAGCAGUGGAACUCAUCUAUCUUGCGGGAGCCAUUAACAGCCAUCCUCGGUCCAGCUAAUAGCAUCGGCGAGAAGAGAUGAUGUUGCGAAGGAUAAUUGUUUGACUUCAAAAGGCCGCUUCACACCUUGCUCAGUUCAGCUUCUCCUCUUCAAUCCACCUGCAUUGAUCCUCUCAGAGAUGAAGGGCCUUCCCUCUGCGUGUAGCCGCUCCCACUCUUUGUGUCUAUCCUCCACUGUCAGAGCUCCGUGCACACUGCACAACUCUGCGCUGAGUCAGACUGCCGUACGACAACGCCGUCAUAACCUAGAAAAAGUGUGUGUGUGUGUGUGUGUGUGUGUGUGUGUGUGUGUGUAAGGCGUUUACAUCCAAGUGUAUCCCAAAGCUAUUAGAUAUUUUGCCCUAUUUUCAUAUAUUUUCCUUCUAUUCUUAUUUUACUUGACUAGCACAGAUAGAAUGGUUGUUGGGUGCAGAAAAAUAACCUCAUUCUUUAAAAUUGUGUUUUUGUAAUGUAUAUUCAAUAGCUCGGAGCCGGUGCUUUUCAAAAUGGAAAUGUCAUCCGAAGUAGCUAGCUCCAUAACAGGUUGAAAAGUUAGUCAUAACAAAAGUGCUACUUACCGUGACCAUUAAAAGGAGACCCAACAUCAUACCGAUCAUGAUGUAUAAAUGAUUGAUCAAUCCUCCGGCCCACAAAGGACCCAUGAUGGUGGCAAGGCCCCCGACUGAUCGUCUUAUACCUUGGCUGAAUCCUUUAGAUCAAAGAACACUAUGAUUGCCCAUUAUUUUGUUAUAUUUCUUCUGAUUUGACUGAUAGGUUAACUAUAUAGUUCACAAUCGAAAAAUUCUCUAAAAAAGUUGAUUUACUACCAUGGAUGAGCUACAUGCACAUGGCCAAGGUCACCUUGUGUUUUCUCCGCUGUCACUUUGGAGAAGAGAGACACCUGAGACACGGCCACGAACGGGAGCCCCAGCAGCUGCAGGAAUACGCCAAUAAUGAAGGCUGACAGCUUCCACUCGUAGCUACCUACAAGACAAAUCGUGUUUAUUUGUAUAUCACCAGUCAUGCACGAGGCUAAUCCGCAUUGAUCGUAUCGGUCCAAUUCAAAUUAAUAGUCAAAGCAGGUUUGAAAUGGUUUCAUUUGAACAGGGGUGUGUUGACUUAUGUCUGAUGUAUCCAAUACAAUCUUAUUGGUAAAUCUCAGAUAUUCA